rnacentral:lncRNA from 1 species
GUAGAAAUGCUUUAACCUAGUCUAUAGUUUUAGAGCUUUAUUUUUGUGUUUUGCUUGAAACUACAUUGCAUGCUACUUUAUUUGCCUUUAUUCAUUCUCUUUUAAUCUUUUAAGCAUAUAUGUCCCUUAUUUGUUAACACUUGACAUGCUACACUUGUCUUAUUACGUGCUAAUACUUGUUUCCUCGUUUUAUCCUUUAUGUGUCGUUCUUGACAUACUUUUUAUGUGUUAAUAAUUGUUUCAUUAUUCCAUUCCUUAUGAGCUAUUCUUGACAUGUUUAUACUUGUUCGUCUAAUCUUUAACAUACACUUUUCCUCAUACAUUUUACUCGAUUAAUCUAAAUCCGACAACACUCAUAUUGUACAAAAGAGACGAGUUUACCAAAAUAGGCGUGAAACCCACAAUUUGGUAAACAACUCUCAUCCCGCUUGAUUUCAUUUUUUGCACGAAAUUACACCAUUAAGUUAGGAGUGAAAUCCACAUCUUAAUGGAAAUUUCACAUUUCAAAUUUCAAUUUCUAGUGGACCCUCGUCAAAGUGUCGAAAUUAACUUUUGACCCGACGAGUACCAACCACACUUAGGGUACGAAAUCGUCAAGUUAGGGGUGAAACCUGCACCUUGUCGACUAGUUCCACUCCUUGAUUUUUUUUUUCAUAAUUCCCGCCAAGUCUUGAAAUUUCGAUUGAUUUGGGACAUGUAGUAACCGGAAGGGUAAAUACCGUUAACCGACUUGUCGGCGAGAGUAUUUCACCUAUUAGGCCAAAGCAUGCUCCUUAAAUUCGAAAGACUUUUCGACCACUUUGGUUAGUCAAAGUUCCAUUUUGGAACCAUCCAAAUUUUGAUCAAACAUGUGUUUCUGUUAAUUAUUUUAUACGAUGCAAUCUUUCAAAUUCGAAUUUACUUUCGAUAUUUUCUUCUCACACACACAACAUAUUGAACCUUUUUCCAUACACUAAUACAUAUGCAUGAUUUCAUAUGAUUUAAAUUCAUUUUCCUUGUAACGACAAGUGGAGAAAAAUCAUCAAGAUGGGAGUGAUUUCCUUACCUUGACGACUAACUCCGUUUCUUUUCUCACCUUACAACGACCUCACCAACGAGUUAGGGGUGAUUCCCUUAUUUAGGUGAUCGUUACCAAGACUUAAUUUUAAUAGACUUUAUUAUGUACACACUAUCACGAUUAUACCCAAAAUGAUUAUUAACCUACUUCUUAUCCUACAGUCUAUUUUCACAUUCUCUGACAUCCACGAAAUUCUUAACAUUAUCGUAAACGCUCAUUUCUUGAUUUUCAGAAUUUCAUGAAAUGCUACUUAUCAAUUUAGCCGGCCAAAUAAAUCCAUUACCCACAAAAUUUCGUAUUCCACGUAAUCACUAAAACACAUUAUCUCGCAUCAUUAUACUAAAGAUCGUUAUUUUUCAAUUGAGAAUCAAGCCACCUUUUCAUACAAACUAUUACAAAUACUAUUCGAUCGUUGGCCAAAACUAUUUUCAAAAUCAACAAAGUAUUUUAUUGAGAAUACUUUUCACGAUCACUAAGCUCAUAUACCAAAUUUCUUUUCUAAGGAUCAACGUUUUCACCAUAACCUCUAAACUUCGAAUUUCUUCAUUAAUGAAAAGUUAUUUAAAACUUCUAGAACCUUUUCAAACAUUGCUCGAUACGUCAAAUGAAUUUAAAACAUGUGGGCAAGGAAACUCCAUA